UUUUUUUUUGUAAAAAGUUCCAUAAAAUGCAAUUGUAUUAUCUAGUCGUUUUGGAUUAAAGUUGUUGAGGAAUGAGAUUGAUAGUUCUGAAUUUGGUUCUGUUUCUUGAAGGAUUUUGAAAGUAUCAUUAUUUUUGUAUAAUUUACUAAAAAUAGGUCAAAAAAAAUUUUAGUCCUAAAACUUAUAAAUAUGUUGGGCCUCAUUUUAUUUUUCGUGUAGGGCCUCACAAAUGCUCGGACCGGCACUGGAUAAGUCUCUCCCAACCAUGGUGUGAAAUUGGCCUAAUCCAGUGUUCAAAGAUAAAAAGAUUUUUGUUGAUCGAAACAGAUAUGUCAUUGAAACCCCUUCUUGUAUUUCGAAGCUAUCCGGAGAUACUUAAUCCACAACAACAACAAGAUCAGUUCGUCGAUAUGGAUGAUUCAUGCAAAGUUCAUCUUCUAGAAAUACAGAUUCAUGUAAAUUUCAUCGAACAAGAUCCUUAAGAACAUCUAGAAUCAGUCUCGAUAGAAAGAAAACGACAAGGAGUGCUGAUCAAGAAAAAUCAUAUACGAAAUAAAGAAAUUCGAUCGUUACCCUAAUCGUCACGUCACAUGAUUUCACAUUUCACAUGAAAGAAAAAGGAAUUGAAAUGAAGAUCGUCACGUCACAUGAUUUCACAUUUCACAUGAAAGAAAAAGGAAUUGAAAUGAUGAAGAAGAAGAAGAAGAAGAAGAAGAAGAAGAAGAAGAAGAAGACUCUUCGCAAGUGAGAGGCUUCAAGAUUCCUAGAAACAAACGCACUCUGUUUUGAGUUCUUUUUUUUUUCCAGCAAAACCUCAGAGACUGAUUCAAGUUUUAUUCACGAGUCUAUAUAUAUAGUAAAAAUAUAUCAGAUUUGUUGUAAACUGUGUUGUUCUAUUGAUUAAUGAAUGAGAUUUCGAUACAUAUAUAUACAUGAUGAGGGGAGACAAAUCCCCAUUGGGCUAGUAAACCCUAAAGCCCAAAAGCCCACUAAGUACAAUAUAGGCCGUCAUAAGGAGAAUCUUCAAGAACAUGGGCAUGGGCCUUCUAGGACAUGGACAUGGGCCUUCUAGAAUAUGCAUAAGGUCCACGGUUAUGGAGUCCAUCCAACAUGUGGUUUAUAACACUCCCCCUUGGAUGACAUAACCGUGUAGAUGCCAAAGGAUCUCAGUAAUACGCUUGGGGAUGCUGCCUCAUUAAAACCUUACCAGGAAAACCCAUUGGGACAAAACCAUGGUUAAGGAAAAAGAGUACAGCACGUAUUACUCCCCCUGUUUUGGUCAUCCCUGCAAGUCCUUAAGUCUCCGCAUUCCAAUUUGAUGCGUGAGCUUCCUCAAUGUCGAUGUUGGUAAUGCCUUGGUAAAGAGAUCGGCUGAGUUGUCGCUGGAUCGAACUUGUACCACUCGAACUUCUCCAUCCCUUUGCAAGUCAUGCGUGAAGAAGAACUUUGUUAGAAUGUGCUUCGUCCGAUCUCCCUUGAUGUAGCCGUCCUUGAGCUGAGCGAUACAGGCGUGUUGUCUCCUCAUAUGAUGGUCUUUGAUGUUGUAGUAGCUGCGCCUUGAAGAAGGCUGCCUACGUACCCUUGGAAGGGAUCAAGCCACACGUAGUUCCUAUCUAUUGACCAUGCCAUAAUCUGAUUUUACCUGCAUCAGCAAAACAAACUAAACCAAAGCAAACUAGACCUUCUUUGGUUAGAUCAGUAUAGAAUAAAACCCAAAUAAACAAACAUAGGAAGAAUAGAAUUUAAAAUUUAACCAAACCUUCCUUCAAACCUUUCUAGUGCCUUUGGGUUGAUCAUGAACUAAAUUUAGGCAAAGGAGGUUCACGGCAAAACAUAUGUCUGGUCUAGUGUGGCUAGCCAAGUACAUUAACGCUCCUAUGGCACUAAGGUAUGGCACUUCAGGAUCGAGAACUUCUUCCUCAUCCUUCUUUGGACCGAAUGGAUCACUAUCCAAUCCGAGGCUUCUCACCACCAUUGGGCUGCUCAAUGGGUGGGCCUGGUCCAUAUUGAAUCUCUUGAGUACUUUUUCAGUAUAUGCCUUUUGAUGCACAAGGAUUCCAUUAUUCACGUACUCAAGUUGCAAUCCCAAACAGAAUUUUGUCUUGCCUAGGUCUUUCAUCUCGAAUUCUUUCUUUAGAUAUUUGACUGUUUGGGCGAUUUCCCCAGAGGUUCCAAGGAUGUUCAAAUCAUCCACAUAUACUGCUAUUAUCACAAACCCUUCGUUUGCAAAUUUCUUUAUGAAGAUACAUGGACUGAUGGGAUCAUUCUUAUAACCUUCUCUGACUAGGUACUCGCUUAAUCUAUUGUACCACAUGCGUCCACUUUGUUUCAGUCCAUAAAGCGAUUUGUUCAGCCUUAUGCAGUAUUGGUCUCGAGACCCUUUCUUAUCUUUAUCUUUGAGCUCAAUACCCUCUGGUAAUCUCAUAUAUAUCAUCCAGUGGACUUAUAUAAAUAUGCAGGCAUUACAUCCAUUAGCCGCAAAUCAAGUCUUUUUCUUUAUAUAGCCAGACUUAGCAAAAUUUAAAUGUCUUAGCAUCCACCACAGGGGAGUAUGUUUCUUCAUAAUCUAUCCCCGGUCUUUGUGAGAAUCCUUGUGCUACAAGCCGUGCCUUAUAUCUCACGAUUUCAUUAUUCUCAUUUCUCUUCUUCACAAAGACCCAUUUGUGUCCUACUGGUUUUUACAUCGAAUGGUGUCCUUAAGGUCGGACCAAACUCAUUCCUUUUCUUAAUGAUUCUUAGCUCCACGUUUUAUGGUCUUGUACCAUUUAAUCAAUCAAGUCUUUGAGUGCACUCUAGUAUAGACGUGGGCUCCUGAUCCUCAUUUAUAUUCAUAAAUUCAAGUGCUACCUUGCAUGCAAAAUCAUCUUAUGUCGACAUUUCUUAUAUGUUCCAUUAUGUUCCAGACAUGAUAUAAUCGAUUUGAGAUUUAUUAUGGUCAGGACCUUUAAUACUUUGCAGCUUGGCGUCCCAAGCUACAUUAUAUGGUACCUGUACCUUAGAGCCGGCCGGCCUUAUCUCCAUGUCUGGGAUGGUUUCCUUAGUAACCUCGGAUUCCUAUUGCACCUUUCUUUGAUUUUCGAGGAUUUUUAUCUUUGGAACCUAUUGGUCUACCACGUUUCUUUCGUGUGUUAGACUCGGUAGCAAUUUCAUUGAUUCGCUUUUGGAUAUCAAUACGUACUGGUGCAUUACAAGCUGGUAUGUACGUUUUUGUAACUUUCUUUGGGUCAGCAAAGGAAUCUGGCAAUUGAUUAGCUAGCUUUUCAAAUGUAUAAUCUUAUGGACCUCUGAUUCUCAUGCCAGAGUCCGAGGAUCUUGCCAAUUUAAGGAUGUUUGAUUUCAUUAUAUUUCUUUUAUUGCUUUACCCAGCUUGUUCGUCUCUCCACCUAUAGUAGGAAACUCGGAUUCAUUAAAAUGACAAUCCGCGUAUCUAGCCUUAAAUAGAUCACCCGUAGUUGGCUCUAGAUACUUAAUAAUGGUGGGAGAAUCAAAUCCAACAUAUAUUCCCAUCCUCCUUUGAGGUCCCAUCUUUGUUUCUAUGUGGUGGAGCAAUCGGUACAUAUAUGGCACACCCGAAAGUCUUUAGAUGGGAUAUGUCUGGCUCAUGACCCAUAAGUAAUUGGGAUGGUGAAUAUCUAUGUUCACUAGAUGGCCUUAUGCGUAUAAGUUCUGAUGCAUGUAAAACAGCGUGUCCCCAAGCGGCUACUGGGAGCUUCGACCUCAUGAGUAAUGGUCGAGCUAUCAAUUGAAUUCGUUUAAUGAAGGAUUCCGCUAAUCCAUUCUGUGUAUGUACAUGUGCUACGGGAUGUUCCACACUUACCCCCAUGGACAUACAGUAGUCAUUAAACGCUUGGGACGUGAAUUCACCGGCAUUGUCUAGACGUAUAGUCUUAAGCGGAAAAUCUGGAAAGUGGGCUCGCAGUCUUAUUAUCUGGGCCAAUAACCUAGCAAACACUUGGUUUCUAGUAGAUAGGAGACAAACAUGCGACCAUCUUGUCGAUGCAUCAAUGAGGACCAUACAUAUGUCUCCUUGUAUCCUUUCCAGAAAUUUUAAGGUCUCUUUAUUUACCUUAGCCGGUGAUGGCCUUAUAAUGAGUUUCCCUUGUGAACAUGCUUCACACGUGAGAUUCUUAGGGAUAACUCUUUUCUCUCUUAGGGUGUGCCCCUUUGAAUUAGUUAUUAGUUUACGCAUCAUACUAUGACCCGGAUGGCCAAGCCGGUCAUGCCAUAAAGUGAAUUUCUUGAUGAACUCUUUGUUCAUUGCCAUAUUAGCUUCGAUCAUAUCGAUUUUAGCAUAGUAGAGACCAGUGGAUAAUGCGGGUAUAGUCUCUUAGGACUUUCUUAUGUCCUUGGGUGAUCUCAAUUAUAUUUAGGAAUUCUUUGUUCCCUUCACCCUUUGUUUCAAUAUGGAAACCAUUCAAUCUUAUAUUUUUUGAAACUUGACAAGCUCCUCUUCGAGCUGGGUGAAUAUAGGGCAUCGCUUAUUUCAAGAUGCGUGCCCUUUGAUAAAAGUAUAUGGGCUUGACCAUGGCCCUCAAUAAGACUAGCUAUACCCGCUAUGGUGCUAAUAUUGGCAUUUUUCAUUAUGAGAUUUAGGAAAAUAUCUCUUAUCUUUUGUGUGGCUCCACUAUCCACCACAAUUAUGUUCUUGUCCUCGGCCAUUUCUUAUAUGGACAAGAAUCAUGUUCUAAACAUAAAAUAAUAUAAAAUAAAUUCAAGCAAAUAACAAUCAAUGAACACAUAAAAUGCAAAGAAAAACAUAGAGGUUCUGAUGUCGAAGUAAGAUUUAUCAACUUGAUUCUUUUAUGCAAUCAAAAGUUUCAUACUCUAUUAGAUCAUCUUGAUCAUGUUCACCAUCUUUAUAUACCAAAUGGGCUUUAGGAUUCUUCCCUUUUACACUCUCUUGAUAGAGGUCACAACGAUGUUUGGAAGUCCUACAUAUCUUAGCCCAAUGGUUUCCCAUUCCAUAUCUAUGGUAUACUCAUUUGGUCGAGUGUUGUGGUUUGGAAAUACCACAUCGUCCUCGCCCUCGACCACGGCCGGAAUUGGGUCUACAUCCACGGUUAUAGUAGUUCCUAUGGCCGGAUGAGUUAUAGUGGCCACAACCACGUCCUUUCAAUACCACAUCUAUGGCAUACUCAUUUGGUCGAGUGUUGUGGUUUGGAAAUACCACAUCGUCCUCGCCCUCGACCACGGCCGGAAUUGGGUCUACAUCCACGGUUAUAGUGGUUCCCACGGCCGGAUGAGUUAUAGUGGCCACAACCACGUCCUUUCCAUCCACCACGGUCACGGCCGUGUGGUCUAUCACUUUAGACGUGGUUAGAUUCUUUGGAUUCUUUCUUAUCCUCUGCGGCCUUAUUGGCAUUAGGUAAUGGGGUUAAUCUAUGAGGUCGUAACUCACUGUUUUUAUCUGUAAGUCAUUAUUUUUAUUUUUAUUUUCAUCUAGCAAUAGACUCAUUCACGGACUUAUAGUCCUGGAUUAUGAGACUCUCAAUAAGAUGGUGGCUAAUAUUGCCUUGUAUCUAUCUUUCUCUCUUGGCAUUCUUACCUUAUUAGAUACAUUCACCAAGUCCUUUUGACUUUAGGAUAAUCUUAGUAUCCAUUGCCCAUUUUAAAAUAAUUAUCUCCUAAGAAAUUUAGGGCAGUAAAGUACAAGUUGUAAUUCAACAUCUACAAGGAAAAGUUUUGAGUCAAAAUCAUGUAAUCGUUAGUGUCAUGCGGUAUUUGAGACCGAACCAUGAAUCGAUUUACUUAGGGAUUUGACUUUCCUCUUUUGCUUAUGAUUAGAUUUCCUCUUUUGAUUAGGAUUAACUUUUCCUUUUCCUUUUAAGAUUUACUUUCCUCUUUACUUUAGGAUUAAUUUUCCUAUUUCACUUAUGAUUUUAGAUUUUAAGAUUUCCUAUUUUAAUUAGGAUUUGGAAAUUUUCUAUUUCUUAAAGUUUUCCUAUCUUGAAUAGGAUUUAUGAAUUUCCUAAUUUAAUUAGGAUUUAGAGUUGUUAAGAUUUCCUAUUAUCCCUAAGAUUUAGGGUUUUAAGGUUUCCUAUUUUUAUUUUAAGAUUUUAGGGUUUUAGGUUUUAGGGUUUUAAGAUUUCCUAUUAUCUAGGGUUUCCUAUUUUAUUUAGGAUUUUAGGUUUUAGGGUUUUGAGAUUUCUUUUAGGAUUAUCUUUUCUAAGUUUUCUAGGGUUCAUGCAAUUUUAGUUUUAGGGUGUUAAGCAUGUAAUCAAUCAAAGGAGCAAACAAUCUAACAACCUAAACAAUCUCAAUCAAGCCGAUUUAAACUUAUGGAAUUUUUUGGAUUAGAUUCGUUUUAGGUUUUAGGUUUUUAGACCUUUAAAGUUUCGGUUAUUAGCUUAUGUAUUUUCGUUUUGCGAUUUUAGGUUUAGACAAUUAAAACUUCUCUAGCAACUUAGGCGAGUUUAGCUUAAGCGAUAAUCAACUUUUUCUAGCAACCUAAACGAGUCAAACAAUCGAGCAAACAAGCAAUCGGAUCAAGCAAGCAAUCAAAUCAUACAAGCAAAGCAAUCACUUAAUCAAUCAUCAUUCGUUUUAGGGUUUCUCUUUGCUUAACUUUCAAGUUCAAUUGUUGGUUCUUUAGCUUUAGGGUUUUGAUGUUACCUUUCACCUUAUGGGGUUGUAUGGACUAGAACCGGGAGCUAAAGACCUCGGUAACUCACGCUGCUGCAACGAACCGCAAACAGUACCACGAUGAACAGUACCGCGAUGAACAGUGCCGCGAUGAACAGUGCCGCGAUGAACAGUGUCGGCGAUGAACAGUACGGCGAUGAACAGUACCGAGAUGAACAGUGUCGGCGAUGAACAGUGCCGCGAUUUUUAGGGUUAGGGUUUUAGGGUUUUCGUUAAGAGCAAGUCGUGCUGAUAACGUGUUGUAAACUGUGUUGUUCUAUUGAUUAAUGAAUGAGAUUUCGAUACAUAUAUAUACAUGAUGAGGGGAGACAAAUCCCCAUUGGGCUAGUAAACCCUAAAGCCCAAAAGCCCACUAAGUACAAUAUAGGCCGUCAUAAGGAGAAUCUUCAAGAACAUGGGCAUGGGCCUUCUAGGACAUGGACAUGGGCCUUCUAGAAUAUGCAUAAGGUCCACGGUUAUGGAGUCCAUCCAACAUGUGGUUUAUAACAAGAUUUGACUUCAUUGUUUUAUUAUUACUAGGUCUCCGGACCCCGCGAGUCUAAAAUUAGUAAAUUUCAAGGUAUAAGUAAAAUUAGUAAAUUUCAAGGCGAAGAAAAACAGAAUUAAUCUUACUAUCAAGUGGACUUCCAUAUUUCUUUAUUUCUUCUUGGGAAGUAGGAUCGAAGAGGUUCAUAUUUGUUGUGAGGAUUUUUGUCCUGAGUUUGAGCUUUGUAUAAAUGUCUUCAUCAGCAAUCUCCAUGUUUUCUCUACUCAAUGUCAGCAGAAUAUCUAUACUUGAUCGACUACUAUUGUCCCUUAUUUCCUGUUUACAGAAGAAAAAAAACUCAGAUCAAAUAAAAAAUCGAUUAUAACUUGAAAAAAAGGCAGUUUAAAGGCAUCUGAGAGAGGAAGUAUUAAUCGUAAUACAUUGAUGAUUAUACCUUGAUAAACUUUUCUUCUGUCUUCAAGACAUGCAAGAACUUCUUGUAAUUCGACAGAUGCUUGAUAGGUAGCUCGGUGAUGCGGAUGGUUGAGUUUUGAAUGUUCUUCUCGAAUACACCUUUUGUAAUGAACCCACCUUCUGUUUCCGUGAUCGUUCCUUUAAAUCCUCUAUAAGAUGGAACCAUAGGCUCAAGAGCCUCACCACUCAUUAGCCGCAUUAUGUUUUUUAUAACGUCUUUAGUGCUAUAUUUUGGGACGAAUGUACUCCACCCAGUUCCAAUCCCUUCACAUCCAUUGACAAGGACAGUUGGAAUGAUAGGUAUGUACCUAAGACAUCAUUAGCAUAUUAAGUUAACGAAAUUAGUCUUCAAAAACAAAUGUAGUCUACUUCAACUUGAGUGAGAUGGAAAAGAAAUAAUUUGUUACCAUUUCGGCUCUAUCAUUCUUUGAUUGUCUCCAUCCAUCCAGGCAAGAAGGACAUCAUCAUCUUUGUGAAACAAGGCUCUUGUAGCUGGAGAGAUCAUAGUGUAAAGGUAUCUUGCACUUGCUGCAUCUUGUCCCCCCUAUAUAUACACUAUGAUGAGUAAGAGCUUAGAUAAAUAUGAGAACUGCAGUAUUCCUAUCAGCAAUGUACUUACAAAAAUUUGCGAGCCAAACUGUCCCAUUGGUAAAAGGAGAUUAACAUUGCUGCUGCCAACAUAAUCUUGUGCCAUCUUGAUGAUGGUACUGGCAAGGCUUUGUUCUCCAUGGUUGUAAUCCGACCUAUCUAUUGCAUGAGCCGUUAAUACAGAGACUUUGCAUUCUGUCUUCCAAUCUCUAGCCAAUGAACAAAAGAGCGUCUUUCUCUGGCCCGGUUUAAGCCCAUCAAUCAUCUCGGGAAUGGACCUUCGAUUGUCUUCUUUGGAGAACAAGAUGAGUUCUUUGUUGAUAAACUCAGAGUAACGGUCAAGGUGUGUGUCAGACCGUAUGGAAAAUGGUUGACAUCAGUACAGGAAGAUAUAUCUUUAGGAUAACUCAAAUAUAUAUCUUGCAUACCGUAUAGUUCUUGAGCCAAGUUCUUCGAUCUUCUGGCUUAUCGCUAUUGAAUGCUAAAUCGAUAGCUUUUCCAUCAUCUUCAUUCUGCCAGAGGAAAUCCCUUUUGUGAAUACUAAUAUUUUCAAAAUAGGUCUGUGCUUCCUCAUCCGAACUUGUACCCAAACCCUGGGAAAAAAAAUGAGCAAUUAAAUAGUGAUAUAUUGCAUUGUACAUGAAGUACACUAUUUAUACAGAGAUUGUAAUUCCCUACAAACUAAGGAAAGACAAUAUUUACAAAUAUAGGCAAUCACAUCUCAAUUACAGUAUCUCUAAUAAUCAAUACAUAAUAACAAUUAGUACGCAGACAAUAAAGUGUUCUCUUAAAAGUUACAACAGAAAACGAACCUUGUAGGUUUUGUAGGUCCAUCUUGGUAUAUCAUUAGGUAAGAGAUUAUUUUUCCAUUUUUUUAACUCAGGCAUUGAGAAAAAUGUCUCUUUUUUUCCAUCCUCGUGCGUAGCCUGAUAGGUUGAGGGAUUCCUUAUAUUCAUGUCAAGCACAAUAAGAUAACAUAUUACAAUGAAAUGAUCAACGUAUUCUUUUACCUUCACUAUUGGUGUUACAAACUCACAUAGGAAGGAUGGAUCCCUUUCGAGUAACUCCGGCCACAUUACAUGGAAUAAAUUGAUUAUUAGACCUUUAAUAUGAAAUCCAUCGUGAUCCUAAAAUAGAAUUUUUUUUUUUUGUCAAGACACACAAUAUGUAAUAUGCUGAACUUGAGGGUGAAAGAUAGAGAGUACUCAGUAGAUACCUGAUCGGUCAUGAUCAUGACAUGGCCAUAUCUUAGAUUGCCAUACUCCUUUCCAUUCUCUAAUCCGAGAAUAGUCUUUAACUGUUGAAUUUUCUUGUUUUUAUUUAUUUUAUCUUCACUGGCACCCCUCACAUUCAUCAACUUUCCUUGGAGGGGAAACACACCGUAGAGUUCACGUGACUCGUCACUCAGGAAAGACAACCCCGUCAUCUGAGUAUAAUGAGUGUUAGUAGUAAAUAGUUAGCCUAAUUCAAAAGAAAUUGAACACUUACAACGAGAGUCUUUGCAGAAUCCCCCUCUGUUAGAAUCAAUGUGCAGAGUUUGGAGUCUUCCCCUCCUGCUUUGUUAGCAUCAACUAAUUUUUCGAUGCCUAGGUCAAGAUCUUUGCCAUGCUUGGAAGUUGCCCAUGAAAGCAACUGCUUUACCAUCCCAGGAUUCUCAUCUAGAAGAAACAUAAAACACAAAAGGAAGUAAAGGUUACAUCUGAUCCAACAAGGCAAAUUAAAGAUGUGCAUAUUUCACUGGUCCAACAAGGCAUAUUAAACAUGUGCAUACCUUUCUUGAGAAUAUCUUUUGAAAGUUUGCAUUUCGACCCAAAACUGCUCUCUGGAAAAAUCAAUGUUUCCUUCAGCCAGUCAAAGACUGGAUGAUCAAUAACACAAUUGACAAACACCCACAUGUGUUUCUUAACAUUAUCCGUCUCCACUUUAGCAUAGUUCAUCUUUUUCUUCACAGAAUUAGUAAUGAAAUCUAUGAUUUGAGUGGUCACAUAAUCGACGUGUGGACCACCUUUGGUUGUGGCUAUGGAGUUGACAAAGCUAAUCUGAAAAUAGAGAUAUGAGAUGAAUCAUGAGAAAACAGAGAUAUGAGAUGAGUAAUUGUUCUCAUGAAGAAGGUAAUCUCCAGUCAAAUGUAGCAUACCUGCUGAAACUUGUCCUUACUUAAGCUCACACAUAUCUCCCAUUUGUCAUUUACUUUCACAGUCAUCCUAAUCACAGCAAACUCAGAAUAUGAGAACCAUAAAUGUAAUCAAUAAAUAUAAUGAUGAGCAAUAUAUGAAAAGGAUGAUAGAACAGUUCACCUUGGUAGAGGAUCAUUCCUUGAACUAUUGGCUCCAAGGUAUAAAUCAACAUAAUCAUUGAAUGAGUUUACUUCAAGUAGUGUGUCGUUAAUGGUUACUUUCACAGUCUCUCCCAAACACGCAGCACACUCUACUAUUCGUUUUUCCAUUAGAGCUACUGUAUCCUUACCAAUUUUACUUAUGUGAAACAUCUCCAAGUCAGGUUCAAAUGUAACCUCUGUCCAUUUAUCAAUGGAUUCGCAUGUGGUCACAACGGGAGUUGACUUUUCUUUCAUGUUUCGUGUGAACACCUGAAUACCACCAGAUAGUUUAAUAUACUAACAUUGAUACUAAAUACCACAAAAUAGGUUAAUAUCUAAUUAAUCAGACGAUUUUUUCAUGUUCAUACCUGUUUAAAUUUGUUUCAAUGGUGAAUCUAGUGGAGAAUAUGUUGGUGAGCUUGGCGCCAUAUCCGGUUCUGCCACCAGUGGUAUUGUCAUCAAAGUGACUACUGGUCAAGAGACAACCAAAAACCAAUUCAGGGAUAUAAACAUUUUUCUCCUCAAGCUGCGCCACGGGAACUCCAUUUCCGUUGUUACGGACGCUGAUUGUAUUCUGGUCAACAUCGAUCUUCACGAUGAUAGAAUCCAUAGACGGAUCUGUACGUUUAUUGUCAACCGCAUUCAUGAGUAUCUCCUCAAAGAUUUUGCAAAGGCCAGGGACAUAAGUCGUUCGCCGGUAAACCAUCUCGCCCUUUUCAAAUACCCAGAGCGGCUGGGUGUGCUCCUUAAUCGAACCUAUGUACGCGUCAGGACGGAGCAAAAUGUGCUCAUGCAGCGACUUCUCCUGAUACAUCUCUUCGAUCGUAGGGGGCUACGACCAAGUUUCUGGAAAUUGAUUGCUCGAGUAAUUAACUCAAUACACUUAACCGUUAGGCAGUAUAUUCGAGGUCGAUCCACAAGGACCAAAGAUACUCUAAGGAUUUUCGAGACUUGUUCUUAGCUAAAACUAAAAAGUUGUUUUGUUUGAGUUUUCCGAAUUGUAAAAUAAAAAUGCAAUUAAAUUAAACGAUUUAAGUUUCAAGAUUUAAAGACAUUAGGCAUUAGGGUAUUUCAGAGAUCAAUAAACAAUGGAAACAUGGGACAAGGAAUUCAACAAUUACGAACCGUUCUUGAACAUGAACACAACUUAGACUAAUUCUCUUUCAAGACAUUAAUCACUAAAUUUGACUACUCGAUUACUAAACUUUCGCAUGUAAUUUCCUAGUCAAAUUCGCAUUAUCAAACAAGUUCAUUUAGUUCACAAUGCGUCCUAACUUCAACUUUCGUUGGCUAGAAAUACAUUGCUCAAUUCACAUUCUUUCAGGCAUUCUAUCGAACACUUUUGAUGCAUAGAAAAACCUAGGUUCUACAACAGGGUGAUCAAUCCUAUUCUAGCAUUAAGAACAUGUGAAUCAAAGAACCUAGAGAAUGAGAAUUCCAAACAACAAUUAAUCCAUUAAUCUAUCGAAUCUCCUAAUUAGAACCCUAACACCUAAUUAAAAGACUACUUACACAUAGCAACAGAAACAAGACAAAUAGAUGAAGAAGACAUAAUUGAAUUGCAAUGAAAAUAAGAAAUAGGGUUUAGAAAUCUUCUCCAAAUUGUCAAAGAGGAUGAAUCUCUAGAAUCCCAAGGUUGCUUACAAGAGAAAAGUCUCAGAAAAAUUGCAGAAAGAAAACGUGAAAAGAAAAUUAGGUCUCUGGGGUUUUUAUACCCAAGUACAAAAAAGGAAGACAAAACCCGGUUUAGGAAAACCGUCUCGGGGCGUCGAGGCUCGGAUCGAUCGAUCCCAUGGGUGGAUCGAUCGAUCCAGAUAUGCUGAAUCACGGUCUUGGACGGAUGAGGGUUGGAUCGAUCGAUCCCAUGGGUGGAUCGAUCGAUCCAGAAAUGCUGAAUCAAUUGUCUUGGACGAAUGAGGGUUGGAUCGAUCGAUCCCCUCCUGGGAUCGAUCGAUCUCGAGCGACUGGAACUUUUGGCUUCAUCGUCACAAUUGGGAUCGAUCGAUCCACGCCUUGGAUCGAUCGAUCCCCAGCUCCUGGUGAUCUCUUGUACCGUUUCUCCAUUGUUUUAGCUCCGAAUAGGCUCAAUCGUGCACAAGAUGCUCCGAAUCCAGCUCGAGCACCUAUAGCCUGCAAAGGACUCAAGACACAACCGAAAAGGCACAAAAGACGGACUUUGACACGAUAGAUGACUCAAAACAUGGACUAAACCAAGACUCGAAACCGUUAAAAACGCAACACAUCACUCCCCCCGACUUAAAUCUUUGCUUGUCCUCAAGGAAAGCAGAAAUCCUUAUCAAGAGAAGAGGUUUGAAAACACGAGAACUCACAUUUUCUUCGGGAUCAUGUUCUAUCAAUUGCCUGCAAACCACUAUCACACAACUCAUCAAACCGUACUAGACUGUACUUCGCCAUAACCGUAGCAACAAAAUUAAGUCCCGAGAUCUAAAAGAACUUUCAGAGUCAGAUAACUUAACCUUUUAACAUUCAUUAGCAGUGGCGUGUAUUCUCACAAAGGGGAUAUCGAACACGCUAUGGGCUUGGUAAAAAGGGCUACUAUAUGGUGGCUCAAAGUGUUUCGGGUUCUCGAACAGUAUAAACGGAUGCAUGACAUUAUGCGAAAUCACAGUGAGACACAGACCAACUAGGAGGUACAUAGCUUCCCUUAAGCUCGGAUCAAAUCAACCAAGACACUACCCCCAAUCAAAUCAAAGUGUACCCUUGAUGCUUAUCAAUAUAACCAAUAAUAACUCGACAUUUCCGGUUCCAAUCACUCUCCUUUCCCGCUCUUUCUUUUUAUUUUCGUUUUCUUUUUUUUUUUUUUUUUUUUUUUUUUUUUUUUUUUUUUUUUUUGAUGAAGCGGGGGAGUGGAACCGGUGUCUCACAAAAAUCUGCAUCAAGAACAAUCGCAAACAACAGCAUAUACCCAUGAAUAUAACCUCUAAACCACAAUGGCUCAAUCUCAUCACAUAUCGACAACCAGUAAACUACGACUCACUAUCCUAACAAAAGGAAAGCUAUGUCGGUCCGUAUACUCCGUAGUUUUCGCACAUGGAUGCAUAUCAUGAUGAUCAUAUAAGAAUGCAUGAG
rnacentral:lncRNA from 1 species